rnacentral:rRNA from 1 species
AUGAACGCUAGCGACAGGCUUAACACAUGCAAGUCGAGGGGCAGCAUGGUAGGUAGCAAUACUUAUUGAUGGCGACCGGCGCACGGGUGAGUAACGCGUAUGCAACUUACCUAUCAGAGGGGGAUAGCCCGGCGAAAGUCGGAUUAAUACUCCAUAAAACAGGGGUCCCGCAUGGGACUAUUUGUUAAAGAUUCAUCGCUGAUAGAUAGGCAUGCGUUCCAUUAGGCAGUUGGCGGGGUAACGGCCCACCAAACCGACGAUGGAUAGGGGUUCUGAGAGGAAGGUCCCCCACAUUGGUACUGAGACACGGACCAAACUCCUACGGGAGGCAGCAGUGAGGAAUAUUGGUCAAUGGCCGAGAGGCUGAACCAGCCAAGUCGCGUGAAGGAUGAAGGAUCUAUGGUUUGUAAACUUCUUUUAUAGGGGAAUAAAGUGUGGGACGUGUCCCAUUUUGUAUGUACCCUAUGAAUAAGCAUCGGCUAACUCCGUGCCAGCAGCCGCGGUAAUACGGAGGAUGCGAGCGUUAUCCGGAUUUAUUGGGUUUAAAGGGUGCGUAGGUGGUAAUUUAAGUCAGCGGUGAAAGUUUGUGGCUCAACCAUAAAAUUGCCGUUGAAACUGGGUUACUUGAGUGUGUUUGAGGUAGGCGGAAUGCGUGGUGUAGCGGUGAAAUGCAUAGAUAUCACGCAGAACUCCAAUUGCGAAGGCAGCUUACUAAACCAUAACUGACACUGAAGCACGAAAGCGUGGGUAUCAAACAGGAUUAGAUACCCUGGUAGUCCACGCAGUAAACGAUGAUUACUAGGAGUUUGCGAUACACAGUAAGCUCUACAGCGAAAGCGUUAAGUAAUCCACCUGGGGAGUACGCCGGCAACGGUGAAACUCAAAGGAAUUGACGGGGGCCCGCACAAGCGGAGGAACAUGUGGUUUAAUUCGAUGAUACGCGAGGAACCUUACCCGGGCUUAAAUUGCAGAUGAAUUACGGUGAAAGCCGUAAGCCGCAAGGCAUCUGUGAAGGUGCUGCAUGGUUGUCGUCAGCUCGUGUCGUGAGAUGUUGGGUUAAGUCCCGCAACGAGCGCAACCCCUAUUGUUAGUUGCUACGCAAGAGCACUCUAGCGAGACUGCCGUUGACAAAACGGAGGAAGGUGGGGAUGACGUCAAAUCAGCACGGCCCUUACAUCCGGGGCGACACACGUGUUACAAUGGCAUGGACAAAGGGCAGCUACCUGGCGACAGGAUGCUAAUCUCUAAACCAUGUCUCAGUUCGGAUCGGAGUCUGCAACUCGACUCCGUGAAGCUGGAUUCGCUAGUAAUCGCGCAUCAGCCAUGGCGCGGUGAAUACGUUCCCGGGCCUUGUACACACCGCCCGUCACACCAUGAGAGUCGGGAACACCCGAAGUCCGUAGCCUAACCGCAAGGAGGGCGCGGCCGAAGGUGGGUCUGAUAAUUGGGGUG